ACAGCCUUGGUGCAGCAUCAGCGGCCAAAGUACUGGUGGGUUAUCAGCACCCUUCUAGCCACAAGUGCAAAGCACAGUGCUAUAUGGGCUGCUAUGAGGAAUGUUAACUCCGUCCUAGCUGGAAUGAGUACAGCAAUAAAAAGUGACAGCCCUGUGUGGGUGGUUACAUUUUUAAAUUGUUAUUAUUAAAACAUGCAUCUAAAUGCUCUGGAUCCAUGACUUUGCCAAAAUGAUGCUGCAUCUCUCCUUGGUUGCAUAACCUUUGAUUCAGCAAGGAGCCAUUCUAAUUCAUGGAAAUGAUCAGGAAAAAAACAGAAAACACAAACAAAUACAGAAAUAUUGUUCUUUUCCCCACCUCUCUGCUGCUUUUUUUAUAUGACCUGUUAAAAAGAACAUGGUUUUCAGAGCAUGGAAAUGGAAACCUUGUUGUCUGCUAACUGUGUGGAUCACUUGUGAUCAGCAAGAUCAAGAUGACUUCAGGUGAAGAACUGAACUGAAAUCAAGCUCUGGCUUGUGGUUACAGCCAGGGGUGUCAACUCAUUGGAUCUGGCAGCAUGAUUUUAUACACCAUAAAAAGAGAAAGGAAAAAGGCAAUAAUCUGUGAAGAAUGAUUUUAACAGAAAAGGGACUGAGAAGGAUUAAAUGGCUGUUAUUCAAAUGCCUGUGAAAGUUACAUGAUAAAAUGAAUUAAGAAAUGGGAUGUUUAUGUUUUUUCUUGUGCUUGUUUUUGUUUGGAUGAGUACAACUGUUUCAAGUCUAAGUUUUGGGUCUUUCAGAAAGAAAAUUAUAUUUGCAAGAAGAUUACUUUAAUAUAAAAGAGAUUAAUUAAAGGCUACUUUGCUGCUGGCCGUCUAGAAAAGCAAAUGUCUUGACACUCCUGAUUAGUCACAAGCAUUUUAAUUUUCCGUAAUUUCUGUGACUAUCAGAUUUUUAAAAGGUUUUCUGUGUAUUAUUUUGUUUGCUUGGGCAGAAUGUGGUAAUUGGGAAUAGAUGCUGACUUCUAAGGGCACUGCUGCAACAAAGCAUGUUAAUAUUUCAUUGCUUCUGCCUCCCUUGAAAAGGCAGAGAAGGUGGCUUAAUUCUGAACACUUGCUGAAUUAUAAGCCUUUGUAUGUGCUACACUGAGCUGAGAUGCUGCUUUGUUCUGAAGUGAGAACGGGAACUUGAUGUUGUAAUAUCAUCAGUGAGGGGGUCUGUCCUGAAAUAACAUUGAAUUCAAAUCUUUUGGUCAUGAUAUUGCAUCAUGACACAGUCCAAGAGCUGAGGAAGAAAGGGCUGAAUUCUUGCAAACUAUCCAGAAGAAGGAAUAUUUUCAGUGGCUUUCAGGGGCACUAAAAGGAAUUUUCUACAGGGUGCCUUCGAAAGUGUGGUAUAUGUGUAUCAGUUUUCCAGAGCAGACUCCCUUAUGGGCCGUCAGUGGAGUAUAUUAGCACAUGACUCUCCUUUUAGCUUUCUUCUUUCAGCGAUAUGCACGGAAGGGGUAAUGCAAAUUUUUCACUGGGUUUCCAGUACUGUUUCUGAUGACCACACAUCUUUUGCAGCUGCUGAAGCACCCUUAGUACUGACCUGAAGCCAAUGCAGCUUUUCUGUGAAUAAUGACAGUUCCAGAUACCCCCUUUACUGAUGGGAUCACGCCAAUACUGUGGCGCCUGUAUGUCUUCAGGAGAAAUCUUGAGCUUGUCCUCUGAAACAAGUGGAGCUGAGCUUUUCUAGGGGACUAUCAGGUGUGCUGUAAACUAAUAUUCACAUGGAGAUACUAGAUCUACCUUGGCAUUAUGUGGUGUGAGUAUUGUCAGUGAAGCAGUUUUGGUGACAUGAGGUGGUGGCAGGUUGGCAUAUACAUGCCAGGUAACGUGGUGAAUAAAGAUGCUGCUGGAAUCUGCAUCUUAUUGACUCCCUACACCUGUUACGUGGAUUAAAACUAUAAUAUAGCUGCAAAAUUUGCAAUAUCACCUCUUGAUUUUGAUUGUUGGCUUUUCUUUGUCCUUGAUCCAUACAGCAACUUCUAAGAGGAAAAAGUUAGUAGAGGUUAAAUCAAGCCAAGACAAAGUUCAUUAAAAAUUGGUAUGCUAAAUUAAUGGAUGCUAAGAAAGAUGCUUCAGGUGUAGCAGAGUAUGAACAGACAGGUUUUUCAUUUCCUUUUAUUUGUUUUGCUUUGGUAUGCAUCUGAAGCACAAGGUUAACUACUACAAAGGCUGCAUCUUUGUUUUUUAAGACAGAUAUGUGAUUGUUUCUUCCGAAAAAAACCCAACAAACCAAAGAAGCCUUACCCCAAAACACAAAAUCCUAGAACAACAAAACCCCUAAAUAAAAACGAACACAAGCAAUAAAACCUAGUUUUGUCUUGACACCUUGACACCAUGUUUUAAUCCUCUCGUGUAAGGGAUUACUUAAGCGCAGGGUUCUAGCUUCUGUGUCCAUGCAGCCUUUAGCCUGUUGUAUACCCGAGCAGAGUGGCAGCUACUGCCAUCAAGAAAUGGUCAUUUAUGUGUUGCAUAAAAGUAAGGAAAUAGAUGUUGCUACUGACUGAGGUCUCAUUUGGCAAUUUAUAUAAAUUCUGUUUGCACUGUGUUCACAGAAACUUGUUCUGUUUUUUUAAUUCCCUCCUCCCACUCCAGCUUCUGAUCAGGAAAAAAAUCAGUGAAUAAUAAACACUUUGUUUUGCAUAUAUACUAAACCUAAUUUUUAAAGAGAUAUGGUAGAAAAUUCAACAUUCUUGAUGUUAAACCCAACAGAAUGUUUUGAUCCUUGCCUGUUACAGUUUUUCUUUGUUCAUUUCUGGUUCAUUUUUGUUCAUUUCUUGGAUUAAGACCUAACAUUAGUGCUUAUUUCCCUGCUUAUACCAUUAAAGCAGAAAAGUUUGUUAACAUGAAAUAAUUUAUGUGUAACUAUAUUUUUGGAAAUGGCUCUAAUAAGUUUUAUAAUAAGGAAGAUUUGGUAGUUCAGGAGAUUAGGAGUGAAAAUAUAGACUAUAAAUAAACUCUAAAUAUAAGGAUUAAUAUUGGGAUACCAUUCCUACCUUG